AAAUUUGGAGCCAGAAAAUCUUACCGUUGUGAGUCUGGAUAUCGUCAAACAGCAGAAAAGGCAACAUGUACACGAGACGGAUGGACACCAGAUCCACUGUGUGCUGAAAUAACUUGUGAGCUUCAGUCAACUACAUCUGGAGU